UACGGAGGGUGCAAGCAUUAAUCGGAUUUAUUGGGCGUAAAGGGCGCGUAGGCGGGAAUGUAAGUCAGAUGUGAAAUCCCGGGGCUCAACCCCGGAACAGCAUUUGAAACUACAUUUCUAGAGGAUAGGCGGAGAAAACAGAAUUCCACAAGUAGCGGUGAAAUGCGUAGAUAUGUGGAAGAAUACCGGUGGCGAAGGCGGUUUUCUAGCUUAGACCUGACGCUGAGGCGCGAAAGCUAGGGGAGCAAACAGG
rnacentral:rRNA from 1 species